rnacentral:rRNA from 1 species
GUCCACGCCGUAAACGUUGGGCGCUAGGUGUGGGGUUCCUUCCACGAACUCCGUGCCGCAGCUAACGCAUUAAGCGCCCCGCCUGGGGAGUACGGCCGCAAGGCUAAAACUCAAAGGAAUUGACGGGGGCCCGGCCACAAGCGGCGGAGCAUGCGGAUUAAUUCGAUGCAACGCGAAGAACCUUACCAAGGCUUGACAUGCACGGGUAAGGUUCCAGAGAUGGUUCCCCGCCAAAGGUCCGUGCACAGGUGGUGCAUGGUUGUCGU